rnacentral:rRNA from 1 species
AGCGAACGCUGGCGGCAGGCUUAACACAUGCAAGUCGAGCGGGCGUAGCAAUACGUCAGCGGCAGACGGGUGAGUAACGCGUGGGAACAUACCUUUUGGUUCGGAACAACACAGGGAAACUUGUGCUAAUACCGGAUAAGCCCUUACGGGGAAAGAUUUAUCGCCGAAAGAUUGGCCCGCGUCUGAUUAGCUAGUUGGUGAGGUAACGGCUCACCAAGGCGACGAUCAGUAGCNGGUCUGAGAGGAUGAUCAGCCACAUUGGGACUGAGACACGGCCCAAACUCCUACGGGAGGCAGCAGUGGGGAAUAUUGGACAAUGGGCGCAAGCCUGAUCCAGCCAUGCCGCGUGAGUGAUGAAGGCCCUAGGGUUGUAAAGCUCUUUUGUGCGGGAAGAUAAUGACGGUACCGCAAGAAUAAGCCCCGGCUAACUUCGUGCCAGCAGUCGCCGUAAC